rnacentral:lncRNA from 1 species
CAUACAGAGGACAAGGCCAUGUCACAACAAGUGGAGACUGGAAUUAUGCAGCCACAAGCCAAGGAACCUCUGGAACCACCAGAAGCUGGAAAUGGCAGUCAUUGACAUUUAUUGAAGCUGUGCUAUUUUCAAAAUGCUGAGGAAGUAUUGGGAGGAGAUGAAGCAAGGAAUUUUUAUCCAGGUGUACAGAGAAAAAAAGAAAGGAAAGAUGCAGACAAAGAAAAAAGGAUGAAAACUUCCAGAUGACAUGUGGGUCCAGACAGACCCUGGCAGAAAGCCCAGCUCUUGGAAAACUGGCCCUCGCCCCAGGAUUUGUAAACAGCACAAAUUCACUGAUGAAGAUGCAGGAGAGGUGAAGAAUCUGCUUUGGCCAUCUCAGCAGCACUGCCCUGCUGCCCUUAACCCCAACCCACUGGACUGGCUGAGAAUAUAUUCCACAGUCCCUUCUUAACAUCCUUCCAGGUUGUAAAGAUAUUACAUAUUUAUCAAAACAAUUAGUGACUUAUAAGAAGUCUGAAGAAGACAGAAGCAAAUACGCAAACAAAUGCAGAGUGCAGUAGCACCUCAGGGCAGAGAUAAUUCUGCCUGUGACAGGAAAAGAUCUUUCAACAGCAGUUUGACAGCUCCUGGUGACAGAUCCCCACCACAGUAUCCUCCAGCAGACCCCUUGGUGGUAUACCUGGGACUAUUUUUUGAAAGCCAAACUCUGGAUACUUCUGUAUUACCUAAACUCCGGCACCUCUUACAUUCCACAUUGGCACAGUUCCGAGGUCUAAGUUUGUUUUAAUUCUCUACAAUCUUUCCUGUUCAAGGAGUAGGUAACUAGAAUGAACACAUUCCCAUUUUAAGAUACAAAUGGGACCUUGGAGGUAGAAAGACGUCCAUAUUGUUUGUACCGUAGUGUGAUUUUAAUUAGCUGCUCUUCUCUUGGUUCAACUCAACUUACUAAAUUGGAUUGGCUGUGAAGGGAAUGGAGCAGUAAUUUGGGUUCAUGCAUUUGUGAAGCAGGAUUGGGGAGUGCCUCAAUGCAGACUGUAGCUGGUUAUAACAUUAUUGGAGGGAAACCAACAAAAACGAGGGAAAUAGUAUCUGCGCCUUCUUUGCAUUCUGCCUAAAGUCUUAGGAUCACAGUGUCCUAAUUGGAUCAUUGAAAACCUAUGAUGGCUUUGAUUUGGCAGGUAAUCUAGCUGAAUCUUUAACACAUUAACUUCCAGACCCCUCAUCAUUCCAGCUGGGAAGAGAAAAGAACUUCAGGAACAAAUUUUAAAAAUGAAAUUUGUUAAAUCAUGAAAAUUCCAAUGAAGUUUUCUCUUUUAUCUUCCUAGCUCAUGUUUGAAGAGCCCAGCUAAGUUGUUGAGCUAACUCGUAUUUCAAGCUCAGGGCUGCAUUCAUUUUGGUUCCCAUCACGAAUUCUAAAGGCAUUUGAAAUUUCCCCUUGGCUCCCUGGGACUAUUUAGAAGAGUAUCUCAGUUGUUUGUAGGGUUUUCUUUUGUUUAAACAUUUUCAGAGUCAGACAAAUUCUUUUAUGAACACAUAUUCACUAUUCAAGUGGAUGUUUCUCUACAGUAAAAUAAAAUUAAUAAAUCAUACAAAGUGGGUAUUUAAGCUUAUGCUCCUAAUCUCCUCACGUGCCACUCAAUGUGCACAUGAGGUUUUUAAAAAUUAGUGUCUCAAUUAUAUUCUAUGAUAGAGAGAACAGAGGUGUUGCUAGCAUGACUGCUCAGCACUCUCCCCUCAUGAGCUCAGGCAGCUGUGUGAUUUGUGAAGGUGGCUGCUCAUCAGUCCAUCUGUGGCUUAGGGCACUGGGCUGAGCUGUAAAGGCAGAGUAUCAUUACAGAUUAUUUUUUAUUAUCUGAAAUAAUGGCAAUAAAGUGGAAGUGAAGGUGAAGAAACCCAGCACUCCUAGAGCUAUGAAAAAGCCAUAAGGCUCUGGCCUCAAGGGGAAACCCAGUUAAUUUAAAGAAGGAAUCUCUAAUCAUCCAGUUGGAGGAUUCAAGGGUACUAGGUGGUUUUCAGGCUCCAGGAAGAAGGUCCCUGCCACUGAUGACCUCAUGCCAAGAGGAAAGAAAGCUGCUCUGUAGACCUUCUUUAUAAGAGUACAGGUUGGAACCAUACUAAGAGCCUGGCUUUGUUAAACCCAACACAUACUACAAUAUUUUUGAUGAUUUAUGUGGGUAAAUAGGAUACAUCCAGAAAAAAUCUGGCACAUAUUUUUCAUGACCUCAGAAUCUCAAAAAGGCAACUUUAGGACCAGGUCUUGUGGUGAUUCUUUUUUCUUUUUGGUCAUUUUUUUCAUGUCAAUAAAAAGGUAAAAUGUAGAAUGUAGUUAACGUUAAUCAGGUAGAUAAAGGAUGCAAACUAGGGGUGGGGUGAGGCUGUGCAUGAUUCCGUCUAUGCAAAUCAGUCAAGGAUUUACACUGGAACUACAAAACUCGAUUUCAGUGGAAAAAGCAUGAGUGGACUCUGUAGGCACCAGGUAGGCAGAACUC